rnacentral:rRNA from 1 species
GGUUAAGUCCCGCAACGAGCGCAACCCUUAUCCUUUGUUGCCAGCGGUCCGGCCGGGAACUCAAAGGAGACUGCCAGUGAUAAACUGGAGGAAGGUGGGGAUGACGUCAAGUCAUCAUGGCCCUUACGACCAGGGCUACACACGUGCUACAAUGGCGCAUACAAAGAGAAGCGACCUCGCGAGAGCAAGCGGACCUCAUAAAGUGCGUCGUAGUCCGGAUUGGAGUCUGCAACUCGACUCCAUGAAGUCGGAAUCGCUAGUAAUCGUGGAUCAGAAUGCCACGGUGAAUACGUUCCCGGGCCUUGUACACACCGCCCGUCACACCAUGGGAGUGGGUUGCAAAAGAAGUAGGUAGCUUAACCUUCGGGAGGGCGCUUACCACUUUGUGAUUCAUGACUGGGGUGAAGUCGUAACAAGGUAACCGUAGGGGAACCUGCGGUUGGAUCACCUCCUU